rnacentral:rRNA from 1 species
UCCGAAUGGUGCACUCGUUAAUCGGCAUUACUGGGCGUAAAGCGCACGCAGGCGGUCUGUCAAGUCGGAUGUGAAAUCCCCGGGCUCAACCUGGGAACUGCAUUCGAAACUGGCAGGCUUGAGUCUCGUAGAGGGGGGUAGAAUUCCAGGUGUAGCGGUGAAAUGCGUAGAGAUCUGGAGGAAUACCGGUGGCGAAGGCGGCCCCCUGGACGAAGACUGACGCUCAGGUGCGAAAGCGUGGGGAGCAAACAGGAUGAGAUAACCCGGUAGUCC